CCUACGGGUGGCAGCAGUAGGGAAUUUUCCACAAUGGGCGAAAGCCUGAUGGAGUAACGCCGCGUGGGUGAAGAAGGUCUUCGGAUCGUAACACCCUGUUUGUAGAGAAGAAAGUGCGUGAGAUUAACUGUUCCUGUUUCGACGGUAUGUAACCAGACAGCCUCGGCUAACUACGUGCCAGCAGCCGCGGUAAUACGUAAGUGGCAAGCGUUAUCCGGAUUUAUUGGGCGUAAAGGGAACGCAGGCGGUCUUUUAAGUCGGAUGUGAAAGCCUUCGGCUUAACCGGAGUAGUGCAUUGGAAAAUGGGAGACUUGAGUGCAGAAGAGGAGGGUGGAACUCCAUGUGUAGCGGUGAAAUGCGUAGAUAUAUGGAAGAACACCAGUGGCGAAGGCGGCUCGCUGGGCUGUAACUGACGCUGAGGUUCGAAAGCGUGGGUAGCAAACAGGAUUAGAUACCCGAGUAGUC
rnacentral:rRNA from 1 species